rnacentral:rRNA from 1 species
AUACGGAAGGCAGCAGUGAGGAAUUUUGGACAAUGGGGGCAACCCUGAUCCAGCCAUGCCGCGUGCGGGAAGAAGGCCUUCGGGUUGUAAACCGCUUUUGUCAGGGAAGAAACGCUCUGGGUUAAUACCCCGGGGUAAUGACGGUACCUGAAGAAUAAGCACCGGCUAACUACGUGCCAGCAGCCGCGGUAAUACGUAGGGUGCAAGCGUUAAUCGGAAUUACUGGGCGUAAAGCGUGCGCAGGCGGUCCUGCAAGACAGAUGUGAAAUCCCCGGGCUUAACCUGGGAACUGCAUUUGUGACUGCAAGGCUGGAGUGCGGCAGAGGGGGAUGGAAUUCCGCGUGUAGCAGUGAAAUGCGUAGAUAUGCGGAGGAACACCGAUGGCGAAGGCAAUCCCCUGGGCCUGCACUGACGCUCAUGCACGAAAGCGUGGGGAGCAAACAGGAUUAGAUACCCUUGUAGUCU